ACAAAUUAAGAUAUACAAGAAUAGGGGUCAAGGAACACAACAAUGAGAAUAGAGAAAUGCAGUACCAAUAAGGAUGGGCAAUAUAUCAGUAUUUAGUAACUAUCAUGAUAAUAUUGUAGCUAACAGAAUAUAAUCAUUUCUUACUAUACAUGUGAGUGGUACAUGUAAUCAAAUAUCGUAACCCUUAGCACAAGUGUGAUGUAAAAGGUACCACUACUAAUCCAGACUAAGUUACAUGUACUGUGUUGGAUUUUCUAGGCUAGGAACCAUUACAAAGGAUCAUUGUUAUUGUAACAGCUUUGAUGAACACAAUUAUUAGUAAUUAUUGUGAUAUCAAAAUGAGAUAUUGUGCUGGUAAAACAACAUUCAAUAUUUCCACCCUUAA